CGCCCACGCGAACCCCGACCCGCCGCUGAUGUACGAGCGCCACGACCGGAUCGGGAACGUCUCCCCUGCAGAUAGAUACUACGACUUUAGUUUGUUAUGAAACUACUGAUUAAUCGCGCCGUGCAACAGUACACAGAAAUUGGGUACUUUACUUGGAUCUGACAUAUCUUCUUCAGUAGCCGAACCAUCUGUGCUCGAACCUUCCUGUUGAAUAAAAUCUUUUUAUAAAAAUGUAAUAAACCAGUAUCAUGUUCAUUAAUUUAUUAGAUUUUACAUAAUAAGUGAAUAUAAUAUUUUUGUUAUUAAACUUAGCACAUCAAACACAAUACAAUUUUUUUCGUUUAUUUGGGAGUAAAUGGGGUUUGUUUGUAUUACCUUUGUUGGUGUUUUUGGAUCAUAAUUUUCCCGGCCGGCACUAUUGCCACCUCCAGAUUGAGCUUGUGGUAUGACUAAAUGUUUACUUAUUGCUAUUGGAGUACCUGUGAAAAAAAAAAGUAUAUUUAAAAUUAUUCAUCUAAAACUACUUAUAGCUGGUAUGGGUGAAACAAUAUGUAGGAUUAAAAGUGUUGUAACACAAACUAUAGAGUGGCCACUCUCGAAAAAGUAGAUGAAAAUUUUUCGGAACCAAAGUUUCAUGAUAUUUCAAAGUGGUUAAAUCUGCGAAUUUCGUUGUAACUAAUGAAAACAAAUGAACCGCAAGAAUAAAGAAAUCAGUCCAAUACAUACACAGCACACCACAUCCUAAGCAAUUGGGUAGUCCAUAAUUGAAAUAGAUUACCCGAUAAUUUGAAUAUAUUGAUUAACGAAGAUGUAAUUACUGCACCAGCAAUAAAGUCUUUUAAAAAUUUGGAUAUUGGAUAGAAAUGAACAAUGUGUAAUUGUUUAAAAACUAGAUUGAAAUAAAGUUACCUAAUAUCAAUGAAAAAUUGAAUCGAAUAAUAGAACUUUUAACACUGCCUGAAAUUGUAAAAAAAUAUAUAAUAUUUAAUAUUCAAUAAAUAAAUAAUCAUACCCAAGUCUUGCUGAUGAAGGAAUCCGACCACAUGAAGUUGAUGGGCGAUAGUAUAGCUGGCGGCCAGGCCCUCGUGCGAGGCAGCCUGCGGCGCUGGGAACAGCUGUACGCGCGAUUCCAGCUGACCGCACUUGAGGGUGCACCAGAACUCUUGGUAAUGCUGCUCGCACAGUCGAGUCAUUGUUGAGAUUGUCUAUGGCAGAGACAGAUCUUUAAAAUAAAAUAUACCUACCUAAUAAGAAAUUUUAAAUUUAUAUUGAUAGCAUUUUGAUAUUGUUUCUAUUUUUAUUGUUGUAAAUAUAAUAUGUAAAUAAAUAUAUUGCACUUGGA